UGGAGAAGAGAGCUGGUUUCACGUUUUUUACAUAGUCGCACGUUUUUAAAAAAAUCAUUAAAUCGUUUAUACGUUGAAAUCUUACCAAGCACAUCUGCAUACCAUAAAUGAGUCUCCAUUACAAAUGUAUAUAAUGACUGUAUAUAUCAUCGCCAUGCAUGAGUGAGAAAAUAAUUUAUCAGCAUUAGUUAAAAUAAUCAAAUUAAAAAAAUAACGCCCCCCC
rnacentral:lncRNA from 1 species